GAAUUAAACAUCAAAAAUUUAAAUGUGUUUAUUAGUAUAAAAUUAUAUAUUUAGCUUGCAUCACUCAAGGAAAUCGUUAUCGUGUAUAUGAGGUGCGUGUUUUCCAUAUGCGUGUCGGAAGUCACCUACCUGGGGGGAGAGAGAGUUCUUGUUAUAAGAACAUCCUCGGGAUAGAGUCCACUCUUUUUCGGCAGUCUGGCCUGAGGACCGAUAGUGAUGUCCGUCGUCGUCGACAGCUCUCUUUCUGUAGUUAUUUUUAUCUGUUGAUAUUUUCCUGUUCGUUCUCACCCUCUCCCCUCCAUUCGCUUAUUUAACCUUCUCCUGGAUGUUUUGUGUUCCUUCCACCUUUACGAUAUUAACAACGCAACAUUCCCACGGAAGAUCACCAAUUCCCUUGAGUAUUAUAAUAUACUCCUCCA
rnacentral:lncRNA from 1 species